rnacentral:tRNA from 1 species
GCCCGAGUGGUGGAAUGGUAGACACAGGAGACUUAAAAUCUCUAGGCCGCAAGGCCAUGCCGGUUCGAGUCCGGCCUCGGGCACCA